rnacentral:rRNA from 1 species
UAGUCCAUGCCGUAAACGAUGAGAACUAGAUGUCCGGGGAACUAACCCCCUGGGUGUCGCAGCAAACGCAUUAAGUUCUCCGCCUGGGGAGUACGAUCGCAAGGUUGAAACUCAAAGGAAUUGACGGGGGCCCGCACAAGCGGUGGAGCAUGUGGAUUAAUUCGAUGCAACGCGAAGAACCUUACCUGGGCUUGAACCGUAGUUGCCCGAUGUAGAGAUGCAUUUUUUCAGUUUACUGAACAACUAUAGAGGUGCUGCAUGGCUGUCGUCAGCUCGUGUCGUGAGAUGUUGGGUUAAGUCCCGCAACGAGCGCAACCCUUAUUUCUAGUUGCCAGCGCGUAAUGGCGGGGACUCUAGAGAGACUGCCUGUGUUAAACAGGAGGAAGGUGGGGAUGACGUCAAGUCCUCAUGGCCCUUAUGUCCAGGGCUUCACACGUGCUACAAUGGUUGGGACAAAGCGCAGCUACACAGCGAUGUGAUGCGAAUCGA